rnacentral:rRNA from 1 species
UACGGGGGGUGCGAGCGUUGUCCGGAAUCACUGGGCGUAAAGGGCGCGUAGGCGGCCACCGCAAGUCGACUGUGAAAUCUCCGGGCUUAACCCGGAAAGGUCAGCCGAUACUGCGGGGCUAGAGUGCAGAAGGGGCAACUGGAAUUCUCGGUGUAGCGGUGAAAUGCGUAGAUAUCAAGAGGAACACCUGCGGCGAAGGCGGGUUGCUGGGCUGACACUGACGCUGAGGCGCGAAAGCUAGGGGAGCGAACGGG